rnacentral:piRNA from 1 species
UUGAGAAGGCAUGUGCGGACGAUGG